GAUGAACGCUGGCGGCGUGCUUAACACAUGCAAGUCGAACGAUGAAGCCCAGCUUGCUGGGUGUAUUAGUGGCGAACGGGUGAGUAACACGUGAGUAACCUGCCCUUAACUUUGGGAUAAGCCUGGGCAACUGGGUCUAUUACCGGAUAGGAGCGUCCACCGCAGGGUGGGAGUUGGAAAGAUUUAUCGGUUUUGGAUGGGCUCGCGGCCUAUCAGCUUGUUGGUGAGGUAAUGGCUCACCAAGGCGAGGACGGGUAGCCGGCCUGGGAGGGUGACCGGCCACACUGGGACUGAGACACGGCCCAGACGCCAACGGGGGGCAGGGGUGGGGAAUAUUGCACAAUGGGCGCAAGCGGGAUGCAGCGACGCCGCGUGGGGGAGGACGGCCUUCGGGUGGUAAACCUCUUUCAGUAGGGAAGAAGCGAAAGUGACGGUACCUGCAGAAGAAGCACCGGCUAACUACGU
rnacentral:rRNA from 1 species